GGGUAUAGCUCAGUGGCAGAGCAUGUGCUUAGCACAUACAAGACUCUGGGUUCAAAUCCUAGUACUACCCA
rnacentral:tRNA from 1 species